UCAAAGAGGGGGACCUUCGGGCCUCUCGCGUCAGGAUAUGCCUAGGUGGGAUUAGCUAGUUGGUGAGGUAAUGGCUCACCAAGGCGACGAUCCCUAGCUGGUCUGAGAGGAUGAUCAGCCACACUGGAACUGAGACACGGUCCAGACUCCUACGGGAGGCAGCAGUGGGGAAUAUUGCACAAUGGGCGCAAGCCUGAUGCAGCCAUGCCGCGUGUGUGAAGAAGGCCUUCGGGUUGUAAAGCACUUUCAGUCGUGAGGAAGGUAGUGUAGUUAAUAGCUGCAUUAUUUGACGUUAGCGACAGAAGAAGCACCGGCUAACUCCGUGCCAGCAGCCGCGGUAAUACGGAGGGUGCGAGCGUUAAUCGGAAUUACUGGGCGUAAAGCGCAUGCAGGUGGUUUGUUAAGUCAGAUGUGAAAGCCCGGGGCUCAACCUCGGAAUAGCAUUUGAAACUGGCAGACUAGAGUACUGUAGAGGGGGGUAGAAUUUCAGGUGUAGCGGUGAAAUGCGUAGAGAUCUGAAGGAAUACCGGUGGCGAAGGCGGCCCCCUGGACAGAUACUGACACUCAGAUGCGAAAGCGUGGGGAGCAAACAGGAUUAGAUACCCUGGUAGUCCACGCCGUAAACGAUGUCUACUUGGAGGUUGUGGCCUUGAGCCGUGGCUUUCGGAGCUAACGCGUUAAGUAGACCGCCUGGGGAGUACGGUCGCAAGAUUAAAACUCAAAUGAAUUGACGGGGGCCCGCACAAGCGGUGGAGCAUGUGGUUUAAUUCGAUGCAACGCGAAGAACCUUACCUACUCUUGACAUCCAGAGAACUUUCCAGAGAUGGAUUGGUGCCUUCGGGAACUCUGAGACAGGUGCUGCAUGGCUGUCGUCAGCUCGUGUUGUGAAAUGUUGGGUUAAGUCCCGCAACGAGCGCAACCCUUAUCCUUGUUUGCCAGCACUUCGGGUGGGAACUCCAGGGAGACUGCCGGUGAUAAACCGGAGGAAGGUGGGGACGACGUCAAGUCAUCAUGGCCCUUACGAGUAGGGCUACACACGUGCUACAAUGGCGCAUACAGAGGGCGGCCAACUUGCGAGAGUGAGCGAAUCCCAAAAAGUGCGUCGUAGUCCGGAUCGGAGUCUGCAACUCGACUCCGUGAAGUCGGAAUCGCUAGUAAUCGUGGAUCAGAAUGCCACGGUGAAUACGUUCCCGGGCCUUGUACACACCGCCCGUCACACCAUGGGAGUGGGCUGCAAAAGAAGUAG
rnacentral:rRNA from 1 species